GAAUUUCGACAGUUAGCAAUAUCAACAGGACCAGUGGUACCUUUCGCAUGGAUGCAAGAUUUCUUUCAUUCAUCUGUCUGGUUGCUGCGCUAAGCUUCACGUACGGACAACCCGUUCCCUGUACAAGCAAUGACGACUGCUACGAUGAAACAUACGAGUGCAACAUGGCGGUUGGAUACUGCGACCUAGUCACAUGUUCUAAUGACGACGAUUGUUCCUCGGAACUGAUGAAGUGUCAAAUUAAUGACUAUACCGUCGACGAUAAGUUCGGACACUGUCGCUUUCGGAACUGUUAUGAAUAUGGGAACCUAUCUUGUUCAUAUGUAGAACACGCUGUUUGCCAUCAAUGGUACGGUAAAUGCCGUUGUGGUCACGGAUUCCGUUUGAAG